AAUGAACGCUGGCGGCAUGCCUAACACAUGCAAGUCGAACGAAGGCUUCGGCCUUAGUGGCGCACGGGUGCGUAACGCGUGGGAAUCUGCCCCUUGGUUCGGAAUAACAGUUAGAAAUGACUGCUAAUACCGGAUGAUGACGUAAGUCCAAAGAUUUAUCGCCGAGGGAUGAGCCCGCGUAGGAUUAGCUAGUUGGUGUGGUAAGAGCGCACCAAGGCGACGAUCCUUAGCUGGUCUGAGAGGAUGAUCAGCCACACUGGGACUGAGACACGGCCCAGACUCCUACGGGAGGCAGCAGUGGGGAAUAUUGGACAAUGGGCGAAAGCCUGAUCCAGCAAUGCCGCGUGAGUGAUGAGGGCCUUAGGGUUGUAAAGCUCUUUUACCCGGGAUGAUAAUGACAGUACCGGGAGAAUAAGCUCCGGCUAACUCCGUG
rnacentral:rRNA from 1 species